CCAGACUCCUACGGGAGGCAGCAGUGGGGAAUAUUGCACAAUGGGGGGAACCCUGAUGCAGCGACGCCGCGUGAAGGAAGAAGUAUUUCGGUAUGUAAACUUCUAUCAGCAGGGAAGAAAAUGACGGUACCUGACUAAGAAGCCCCGGCUAACUACGUGCCAGCAGCCGCGGUAAUACGUAGGUGGCAAGCGUUAUCCGGAUUUACUGGGUGUAAAGGGCGUGUAGGCGGGAUGGUAAGUCAGAUGUGAAAACUAUGGGCGCAACCCAUAGCCUGCAUCUGAAACUAUCGUUCUUGAGUGUUGGAGAGGCAGGCGGAAUUCCGUGUGUAGCGGUGAAAUGCGUAGAUAUACGGAGGAACACCAGUGGCGAAGGCGGCCUGCUGGGCAAUAACUGACGCUGAGGCGCGAAAGCGCGGGGAGCAAACAGGAUUAGAUACCCCGGUAACA
rnacentral:rRNA from 1 species